AGGAGCCGUAUGCCUUAAUUGGGCACGUACGGAUCUGUGAGGGGCGUGAGCCGUGAGGCUCACGUCUACUCGAC
rnacentral:autocatalytically_spliced_intron from 1 species